rnacentral:rRNA from 1 species
UACAGAGGGUGCAAGCGUUGCUCGGAAUUAUUGGGCGUAAAGGGCAGGUAGGUUGUCCUAUUUGUCUGGGGUGAAAUCCCUGAGCUUAACUCAGGAAGUGCCCCAGAAACGGUAGGACUAGAGUCUUAGAGAGGUUCGUGGAAUUCCCAGUGGUAGCGGUGAAAUGCGUAGAGAUUGGGAGGAACACCAGAGGCGAAGGCGGCGAACUGGAUAAGCACU